CAAGUCAUGGUGAUUUGUUCAACGUGUUAGGUCCCGAAAUUCUAGUAGAAUGGAAAUUGUCUGAUGAAUGUAACGAAUGUCAUGAUGGUGGAGGUCAAUGCCAGACUGAUAAAACCAACAAAUUUUCUUGUCACAAAGAUGCAAAAACAC